AAUGCUAAUACCGCAUGACAUAUCGGAACCACAUGGUUCUGAUAUCAAAGAUUUUAUCGCUUGAAGAUGGACUCGCGUCCGAUUAGUUAGUUGGUGAGGUAACGGCUCACCAAGACCGCGAUCGGUAGCCGGACUGAGAGGUUGAACGGCCACAUUGGGACUGAGACACGGCCCAGACUCCUACGGGAGGCAGCAGUGGGGGAUAUUGCGCAAUGGGGGCAACCCUGACGCAGCAACGCCGCGUGAAGGAUGAAGGUUUUCGGAUUGUAAACUUCUUUUAUUAAGGACGAAAAAUGACGGUACUUAAUGAAUAAGCUCCGGCUAACUACGUGCCAGCAGCCGCGGUAAUACGUAGGGAGCAAGCGUUGUCCGGAUUUACUGGGUGUAAAGGGUGCGUAGGCGGCUUUGUAAGUCAGAUGUGAAAUCUAUGGGCUCAACCCAUAAACUGCAUUUGAAACUGUAGAGCUUGAGUGAAGUAGAGGCAGGCGGAAUUCCCCGUGUAGCGGUGAAAUGCGUAGAGAUGGGGAGGAACACCAGUGGCGAAGGCGGCCUGCUGGGCUUUAACUGACGCUGAGGCACGAAAGCGUGGGUAGCAAACAGGAUUAGAUACCCUGGUAGUCCACGCUGUAAACGAUGAUUACUAGGUGUGGGGGGUCUGACCCCUUCCGUGCCGGAGUUAACACAAUAAGUAAUCCACCUGGGGAGUACGGCCGCAAGGUU
rnacentral:rRNA from 1 species